UACGUAGGGGGCAAGCGUUGUCCGGAUUUAUUGGGCGUAAAGAGCGUGUAGGCGGCCAGACAGGUCCGUUGUGAAAACUCGAGGCUCAACCUCGAGACGCCGAUGGAAACCGUCUGGCUAGAGUCCGGAAGAGGGAGAGUGGAAUUCCUGGUGUAGCGGUGGAAAUGCGCAGAUAUCAGGAAGAACACCCGUGGCUAAGGCGGCUCUCUAGUACGGUACUGACGCUGAGACGCGAAAGCGUGGGGAGCGAACAGG
rnacentral:rRNA from 1 species